rnacentral:sRNA from 1 species
AUGCAACCACGCGUGCUCCUGCUGGAGGAACUGCCGAAAUCGCGUCGUACAGAAUGGUCUCAGUGAGGUGAUGUCCCAACGCUUCUCAGGCUGCGUGGAC